rnacentral:tRNA from 1 species
CACUAAGAAGCUAUAUAAGGAGCAGCGUUAGCCUUUUAAGCUAAAGAUAGGUGACUACCAACCACCCCUAGUGA